rnacentral:rRNA from 1 species
UACGUAGGGUGCAAGCGUUGUCCGGAAUUAUUGGGCGUAAAGAGCUCGUAGGCGGUCUGUCGCGUCUGCUGUGAAAACUCGGGGCUUAACCCCGGGCCUGCAGUGGGUACGGGCAGACUAGAGUGCGGUAGGGGAGACUGGAAUUCCUGGUGUAGCGGUGAAAUGCGCAGAUAUCAGGAGGAACACCGGUGGCGAAGGCGGGUUGCUGGGCUGACACUGACGCUGAGGCGCGAAAGCUAGGGGAGCGAACGGG